UUAAGAACUAAACUAUAUUAAAAAAGAAGUAAAAAAGGUGAUGAAAGACAGCAAAGAAGGUAGAUUUCUUUUCUGUUUUCUUUUUCUCCUGUGGUGUUGCUGAAUUGAUGUGAUAGUUGUAAACAGUUCCAGCGUUCAUCGUUAGAAAAGAAGGUGACAAAAACUUAGACCAAGGUUAAUUUUACCUCAGAUCAGAUUCUCAAUUUGGUUCACCACAGGACUGUGUGAGCAGGAAAAGUCUGUUGGCCUGUGGGAAAGGAAGAGUGAAAUGUCAAUGCAUGUAGUAUGAACUAUGCUUUCUUCAUGGUAUGAACAGGUGCAAGCUCGCUGAGUCUUACAAACCAAACAGCAGGAGGCUACAUCACUAUGCUGCCCAGUCCGUUAGAAAUCAAAGGAAAACAAGAUUUGUACGUCCCUACCACGCUGAAAACAAGAUAUGUCGCAGUCUGAGGCAUAAAACUUUUGCUUAGAUAUCAAUUUCAUCUACAAUAUUUGUCAAAACUGGAGUCUUACUUUGUUUCCCCCCCCCGUCCUUGGACGUUAAUCUUCUUUGUUAUAAUUUUAAAGAAUCUGUAAAAUUGACUAUUUAUUUAUUCCUAAAUCUAUCUUUUGGAUCCCAUUAAAGAAUUCAUUACUUGACAGGUUUUUGUCAUUAU
rnacentral:lncRNA from 1 species